CGCGUAGGCGGGCGAUUGCAAGUCAGUUGUGAAAUCUCCGGGCUUAACCCGGAAAGGUCAACUGAUACUGCAGGGCUAGAGUGCAGAAGGGGCAACUGGAAUUCUCGGUGUAGCGGUGAAAUGCGUAGAUAUCGAGAGGAACACCUGCGGCGAAGGCGGGUUGCUGGGCUGACACUGACGCUGAUGCGCGAAAGCCAGGGGAGCGAACG
rnacentral:rRNA from 1 species